CAGGUUGACUGGGUGAUCGCAGCUCACGCUUUUCCGAAGCCGUGAACCGAUUACGGAUUACCGAUUACGGAUUACCGAUUACGGAAAUGUGAGCUGAGGAAAGUCCGCACUCCACAGAGCACGGCGCCGGCUAACAGCCGGGCGGGGCAACCCGACGGCAAGUGCAACAGAGAGGCAUAGUGCCAGCGAUCACGCUGGCGAGGGUGAAACGGUGGUGUAAGAGACCACCGGCGGUGGCAGUAAUGCUGCCGGCCAGGCAAACCCCGCCGGGAGCAAGGCCAAGCAGGGCAAAGGGGCUGCUCGUCCCGUUGAUGUCCGGGUAGGCUGCGCGAGGGCGUCAGUAAUGACGCUCCCAGAUAGAUGAUCACCACCCCACUUGUGGGGAACAGAAUGCGGCUUAUAGGCCAACCUGAAAU
rnacentral:RNase_P_RNA from 1 species